AACGAGACCUUAGCCUGCUAAAUAGUCCGGCCGGCUUUUGCUGGUCGCAGACUUCUUAGAGGGACUGUCAGCGUCUAGCUGACGGAAGUUUGAGGCAAUAACAGGUCUGUGAUGCCCUUAGAUGUUCUGGGCCGCACGCGCGCUACACUGACAGAGCCAGCGAGUUCUCGCCUUGGCCGGAAGGUCUGGGUAAUCUUGUGAAACU
rnacentral:rRNA from 1 species